UAGGGAAUCUUCGGCAAUGGACGGAAGUCUGACCGAGCAACGCCGCGUGAGUGAAGAAGGUUCUCGGAUCGUAAAGCCCUGUUGUUAGAGAAGAACGUUGGUAGGAGUGGAAAAUCUACCAAGUGACGGUAACUAACCAGAAAGGGACGGCUAACUACGUGCCAGCAGCCGCGGUAAUACGUAGGUCUCGAGCGUUGUCCGGAUUUAUUGGGCGUAAAGCGAGCGCAGGCGGUUCUUUAAGUCUGAAGUUAAAGGCAGUGGCUUAACCAUUGUACGCUUUGGAAACUGGAGGACUUGAGUGCGGAAGGGGGGGGUGGAAUUCCGUGUGUAGCGGUGAAAUGCGUAGAUAUAUGAAGAAACACCGGUGGCGAAAGCGGCUCUCUGGUCUGUAACUGACGCUGAGGCUCGAAAGCGUGGGGAGCAAACAGG
rnacentral:rRNA from 1 species